rnacentral:rRNA from 1 species
CCUACGGGAGGCUGCAGUGGGGAAUAUUGCACAAUGGGGGAAACCCUGAUGCAGCGACGCCGCGUGAGUGAAGAAGUAUUUCGGUAUGUAAAGCUCUAUCAGCAAGGAAGAAAAUGCCAGUACCUGCCCAAGAAGCCCCGGCUAACUACGUGCCAGCAGCCGCGGGAAUACGUAGGGGGCCAGCGUUAUCCGGAUUUAAUGGGUGUAAAGGGAGCGUAGACGGUUAUGUAAGUCUGGAGUGAAAGCCCGGGGCCCAACCCCGGGCCUGCUUUGGAAACUGGGUAACUGGAGUACAGGAGGGGAAGGGGGAAUGCCUGGUGUAGCGGUGGAAUGCGUAGAUAUCGGGAGGAACACCGGCGGCGAAGGCGGCCUGCUGGACUGAAACUGACGUUGAGGCUCGAAAGCGUGGGGAGCAAACAGGAUUAGAUACCCCAGUAGUC